UGGGACAGACAGCAGUGAGCUCGCUCUUGAACGAUACAUUAGCAACUGAACUGUAAUCUGGUGCAAUGCAUCUCUUGUGUAGCUACAUGAGAUUAAUUAGGGUGUCGGCUCUGGAGACGGGAGAAGGACG